rnacentral:rRNA from 1 species
UACGUAGGGUGCAAGCGUUAAUCGGAAUUACUGGGCGUAAAGCGUGCGCAGGCGGUUUUGUAAGUCUGACGUGAAAUCCCCGGGCUCAACCCGGGAACUGCGUCCGAGACUGAAAGGCUCGAAUCCGGGAGAGGGAUGUGGAAUUCCAGGUGUAGCGGUGAAAUGCGUAGAUAUCUGGAGGAACAUCGGUGGCGAAGGCGGCAUCCUGGACCGGUAUUGACGCUGAGGCGCGAAAGCCAGGGGAGCAAACGGG